rnacentral:rRNA from 1 species
AGAGUUUGAUCAUGGCUCAGGACGAACGCUGGCGGCGUGCUUAACACAUGCAAGUCGAACGGAAAGGCCCGCUUGCGGGUACUCGAGUGGCGAACGGGUGAGUAACACGUGGGCAACCUGCCCUCAGCUCUGGGAUAACUCCGGGAAACCGGUGCUAAUACUGGAUAUUGACUUCUGCUCGCAUGGGUGGUUGUUGAAAGUUUUUCGGCUGGGGAUGGGCCCGCGGCCUAUCAGCUUGUUGGUGGGGUGAUGGCCUACCAAGGCGACGACGGGUAGCCGGCCUGAGAGGGCGACCGGCCACACUGGGACUGAGACACGGCCCAGACUCCUACGGGAGGCAGCAGUGGGGAAUAUUGCGCAAUGGGCGGAAGCCUGACGCAGCGACGCCGCGUGAGGGAUGACGGCCUUCGGGUUGUAAACCUCUUUCAGCUCUGACGAAGCGUGAGUGACGGUAGGAGCAGAAGAAGCACCGGCCAACUACGUGCCAGCAGCCGCGGUAAUACGUAGGGUGCAAGCGUUGUCCGGAAUUAUUGGGCGUAAAGAGCUCGUAGGCGGUUUGUCGCGUCGAAUGUGAAAUCCCGGGGCUCAACCCCGGGUCUGCAUUCGAUACGGGCAGACUAGAGUUCGGUAGGGGAGUCUGGAAUUCCUGGUGUAGCGGUGAAAUGCGCAGAUAUCAGGAGGAACACCGGUGGCGAAGGCGGGACUCUGGGCCGAUACUGACGCUGAGGAGCGAAAGCGUGGGGAGCGAACAGGAUUAGAUACCCUAGUAGUCC